rnacentral:rRNA from 1 species
AUUGAACGCUGGCGGCAGGCCUAACACAUGCGAGUCGAGCGGAUGAAGGGAGCUUGCUCCUGGAUUCAGCGGCGGACGGGUGAGUAAUGCCUAGGAAUCUGCCUGGUAGUGGGGGAUAACGUCCGGAAACGGGCGCUAAUACCGCAUACGUCCUGAGGGAGAAAGUGGGGGAUCUUCGGACCUCACGCUAUCAGAUGAGCCUAGGUCGGAUUAGCUAGUUGGUGGGGUAAAGGCCUACCAAGGCGACGAUCCGUAACUGGUCUGAGAGGAUGAUCAGUCACACUGGAACUGAGACACGGUCCAGACUCCUACGGGAGGCAGCAGUGGGGAAUAUUGGACAAUGGGCGAAAGCCUGAUCCAGCCAUGCCGCGUGUGUGAAGAAGGUCUUCGGAUUGUAAAGCACUUUAAGUUGUGAGGAAGGGCAGUAAGUUAAUACCUUGCUGUUUUGACGUUACCAACAGAAUAAGCACCGGCUAACUUCGUG